AUCCAGCUGGCAAGUCCCAAAUAGGACGAAACGCACGUCCUGGAU
rnacentral:hammerhead_ribozyme from 1 species